AUUGAACGCUGGCGGCACGCCUAACACAUGCAAGUCGAGCGGUAGCAGGACCUGUAGCAAUACAGGUUGCUGACGAGCGGCGGACGGGUGAGGAAUACGUAGGAACUUGCCCUUCAGUGGGGGAUAACCAAGGGAAACUUUGGCUAAUACCGCAUAAUCUCGGGAGAGUAAAGCUGCCGCGAGGUGGUGCUGAAGGAGAGGCCUGCGUCCGAUUAGCUAGUUGGUGAGGUAAGAGCUCACCAAGGCGAUGAUCGGUAACUGGUCUGAGAGGACGACCAGUCACACUGGGACUGAGACACGGCCCAGACUCCUACGGGAGGCAGCAGUGGGGAAUAUUGGACAAUGGGGGCAACCCUGAUCCAGCGAUGCCGCGUGAGUGAAGAAGGCCCUCGGGUCGUAAAGCUCUUUAGGUUGGGAAGAAGGUUAUUGGAGGAAAUGCUAGUAACUUGACGGUACCGACAGAAUAAGCACCGGCAAACUCUGUGCCAGCAGCCGCAGUAA
rnacentral:rRNA from 1 species